UACGUAGGUGGCAAGCGUUGUCCGGAUUUACUGGGCGUAAAGAGCGCGCAGGCGGUUGGAUAAGUCGAAUGUGAAAGCCCCCGGCUCAACUGGGGAGGGUCAUCGAAACUGUCCAACUCGAAGGCAGGAGAGGGAAGCGGAAUUCCCGGUGUGAGUGGUGAAUGCGAUAGAUAUCGGGAGGAACACCAGUGGCGAAGGCGGCCAUCUGGACCGCAACUGACGCUGAGGCGCGAAAGCGUGGGGAGCAAACAGG
rnacentral:rRNA from 1 species